rnacentral:misc_RNA from 1 species
CAUUAGCCACCUGAAGGAUGCUAGAGUUCAAACAUAAUUUCUCCUAGAACACAAUGGAACUACAUGCGUUCGUUUCAAUGCAUCAUUUUGACAAAGCAUUCAAUAAUUCAAAACAGGAAUAGAACAUCAGAUUUUAGCCAAAAAUAAAACUUACAAGUCUACUAGAGGUUCAAAUUCAGCUUAUAAAAAAAAUGCAAUGAAGAAGCAACAACAAAACAAAUCUCUGGUACCAACAGAAGAAAAGACUUGCUACUUAAACGAAAAUUGAUGGCUUCUCUUCUUUCAGCACUUCCUUAAAAUAUGUGCAUAUAUAUAGAGCCUUAAGCACGAACCCCUCUGUUGAGACUAACCAUGCGGUUAGAAACAUCUAAUUGAGAUCCCCUCACUGCAGUUCUUCCAGACCCACUAUAUGCAGCAUCUUGAUAUCGUGACCCACCAGGAUAUCCACCAGCACGCGACCCUCUCGAAUAACCACCACCAGCACCUUGGCCUAAUGCCGGUGGUCUCCCACCACCAACAUUAUACCCUGAACGCCCUGAGCCUUGCCUUCCGUGAGUGAAAGAAAAAUUGUCUUGCCACUUGCCACCUGCAGCAGCCAUGGUAGCAUAAUCCUGGCUAUCUUUCCGCCUC